UUCCCGGAGGACUAGUGGUUAGACCUCGGUGCUCUCACUGCCGCUACCUGGGUUCAAUUCUCAGCCAGGGAA